rnacentral:rRNA from 1 species
UACGUAGGGCGCAAGCGUUGUCCGGAAUUAUUGGGCGUAAAGAGCUCGUAGGCGGCUUGUCGCGUCGGAUGUGAAAGCCCGGGGCUUAACCCCGGGUCUGCAUUCGAUACUGGGCGGCUAGAGUCUGGUAGGGGGAUCUGGAAUUCCUGGUGUAGCGGUGGAAUGCGCAGAUAUCAGGAGGAACACCGGUGGCGAAGGCGGGAUCCUGGGCCAGUACUGACGCUGAGGAGCGAAAGCGUGGGGAGCAAACAGG